UAGCCCCGGGCAAUGUCUCUCCCCUGCAUGUUUUUGUAUCCCUCUGGACUGAUGUCUGCCCCGCGCGCUCUGAACAAGCCAAUCAGAUCCCGAGAACGUGUAGGGGAUGAUAGUGCGCGCAAGGGAUUCUCAACAGUCCUGCACGCGCUGCGCACGCACUCCAGACCGUGAACUGCUAUGGAAGAGAGGGGUUGAGGAAUACCAAAGAGGUGCGGGCAUAUAACUCCAAAACAUGGAUGACUAAAGGGAGUGGAAUGAGGUCCCGGCCCAGGUCACUUAAGACCCGAAAGCACUGUUUCCUGUCACAUUACGGCUGGACAGCAGCUUUUCUCUGUCCGAGCUUCCUUUACCCCUGACGACAUGUUCCCUAGCUGCUGAGGACACCUGAAUAUGAUGCCACACAAGCAAUUAGCCACAGAAGAGCGUGUCACGGCAUGCUUGUUUUCUGGCUGGAGUUUAUUUAAACCGGUAGUGGCACGUCUGUUUGUGCGCAGCACAUGAUGUGGACCUCUCAGCUGUGUGUAGUUUGCAGAAAGUUUCCUCUGAUGGUUUUACUUUGACAGCUGGGUUCCCUGCCUGGACUUCCUGUGUCCUGCUUGAUUUCUCCUCGCAUUUACUUGUGAGACUUUGGGACCUGGCAAAUCAUUUUCCAGAAGAAACAUCUCCAUUUAAUCUAACUUCCAUCUAGGAGAAACAACUGAAAUAAUAAAGAGAUCACCCUGGACCAAAUUCAUCUUGGAACUUAGAAACUGAGACAACAGUUGACAUACUUUGAGAUAAAAGAGCUAUAAAAGUAAUGUGGGUAGCAUAGUAUUGAUUAUUUAGUCUUGGAAGAAUUUCUUGGGAAAUGUUUGAGUUCAUAUAGAGAUCUCAAAUUUUCUUCAUUGCAGACUUUUGGGACUUGGCAAAUCUGAACACAGUUCAAAGGAAAAUAAAACUCUAGAGGAGACCUAUGUGAGAUUACUGGGGUCUUUUUCUCAAGGGAAAACAUCUGAGAAGCAGGAGACCUCAACAAAUGUCUCUAUUGCCAUCUAGGAGAAGCAACUGAGAUUAUAUAAUAAAGAGAUCUCACUGGACACAUUUAUUCU